GAUGAACGCUGGCGGCGUGCUUAACACAUAGCAACGUCGAGCGAAGCACUUAGGAAAGAAUUUCCGGAUGAUUUCCUAGGUGACUGAGCGGCGGACGGGUGAGUAACGCGUGGGUAACCUGCCUCAUACAGGGGGAUAACAGUUAGAAAUGACUGCUAAUACCGCAUAAGACCACAGCACCGCAUGGUGCAGGGGUAAAAACUCCGGUGGUAUGAGAUGGACCCGCGUCUGAUUAGUUAGUUGGUGGGGUAACGGCCUACCAAGGCGACGAUCAGUAGCCGACCUGAGAGGGUGACCGGCCACAUUGGGACUGAGACACGGCCCAAACUCCUACGGGAGGCAGCAGUGGGGAAUAUUGCACAAUGGGGGAAACCCUGAUGCAGCGACGCCGCGUGAGCGAAGAAGUAUUUCGGUAUGUAAAGCUCUAUCAGCAGGGAAGAAAAUGACGGUACCUGACUAAGAAGCCCCGGCUAACUACGUGCCAGCAGCCGCGGUAAUACGUAGGGGGCAAGCGUUAUCCGGAUUUACUGGGUGUAAAGGGAGCGUAGACGGAGCAGCAAGUCUGAUGUGAAAACCCGGGGCUCAACCCCGGGACUGCAUUGGAAACUGUUGAUCUGGAGUGCCGGAGAGGUAAGCGGAAUUCCUAGUGUAGCGGUGAAAUGCGUAGAUAUUAGGAGGAACACCAGUGGCGAAGGCGGCUUACUGGACGGU
rnacentral:rRNA from 1 species